rnacentral:rRNA from 1 species
CCAGGAUGUUGGCUUAGAAGCAGCCAUCAUUUAAAGAAAGCGUAAUAGCUCACUGGUCGAGUCGGCCUGCGCGGAAGAUGUAACGGGGCUAAACCAUGCACCGAAGCUGCGGCAGCGAACGUAUCACCCAAGACAACUUUGCGGAGUUGACGAUUGACGGAGCGAAGCGACGUCAAAGCGUUCAUUAAAGUCGAGUUGGCUUAGGGAUACGUUCGUUGGGUAGGGGAGCGUUCUGUAAGCCUGUGAAGGUGGCCUGUGAGGGUUGCUGGAGGUAUCAGAAGUGCGAAUGCUGACAUAAGUAACGAUAAAGCGGGUGAAAAGCCCGCUCGCCGGAAGACCAAGGGUUCCUGUCCAACGUUAAUCGGGGCAGGGUGAGUCGACCCCUAAGGCGAGGCCGAAAGGCGUAGUCGAUGGGAAACGGGUUAAUAUUCCCGUACUUGGUGUUACUGCGAAGGGGGGACGGAGAAGGCUAUGUUGGCCGGGCGACGGUUGUCCCGGUUUAAGCGUGUAGGUGUGUGUUCCAGGUAAAUCCGGUUCACUUUAACACUGAGGCGUGACGACGAGGCACUACGGUGCUGAAGCAACAAAUGCCCUGCUUCCAGGAAAAGCCUCUAAGCAUCAGGUAACAUCAAAUCGUACCCCAAACCGACACAGGUGGUCAGGUAGAGAAUACCAAGGCGCUUGA